rnacentral:rRNA from 1 species
ACUCUAUACCCACCACGUAGUGCACGGAACAUGUUCGGCAACUGGUUGCGGGGUAUUGAUAAAUAAUUUUCUGCACAUAUUCUUGUGGGAGCGGCGGCCUUAUGCUGGGCACUGUGGCUUACCAGGAAUGAUGUGAUUUUUAAUAACAAAUGUGUCUCAUCUCCUAUGCAGGUUAUUCAUGUGUGUACACGAUGGCUCCGUACUUGGUCUAUCCUGCAGAGGCCGGAGGACAGAGACCUUUUUAUGAUGGCGUCUACACGGCUGGAGCAUACGGCCAGGGAGGUUUUCUACCCCCAUGGAUGGCGGUGUGACCUACGGAUAGGAUCUGCCACUCCUUAG